rnacentral:rRNA from 1 species
UACGUAGGCAGCAAGCGUUGUUCGGAGUUACUGGGCGUAAAGGGUGUGUAGGCGGUUUUCUAAGUCUGGUGUGAAAUCUCCCGGCUCAACUGGGAGGGUGCGCCGAAAACUGGAAGGCUAGAGUACUGGAUGGGAGAGUGGAAUUCCUGGUGUAGCGGUGAAAUGCGUAGAUAUCAGGAGGAACACCUGUGGUGUAGACGGCUCUCUGGACAGUAACUGACGCUGAGACGCGAAAGCGUGGGGAGCAAACAGG